rnacentral:rRNA from 1 species
AGAGGAUUUAAAGUUAAUAUACUUUAGUAGUAUUAGUUUAUGAUCUUGAAACUUAAAGAAUUUGGCGGUAUCUUAGUCUAUUUAGAGGAAUCUGUCCCGUGAUCGAUAGUCCACGUUGAAACUUACUUAAUUUUAUUAUUUGUAUACCGCCGUUUUAUGAGGAUUCUUUUAGGUUAUAUCCUCAGAAAUUUUAAUUAAAAUAUAUUUCAGGUCAAGGUGCAGUAAAUAAUUAAGAGGUGAUGGAUUACAUUAUAAUAAUUAUAAACGUAAUAUAAUAUGAAAUAUUUAUAAUAAGGUGGAUUUAAUUGUAAUGUUUUAUAGAUUAAAACUAUGAUUUUAGCUCUAAGGUGUGU